rnacentral:rRNA from 1 species
GGUUAAGCGACUAAGCGUACACGGUGGAUGCCCUGGCAGUCAGAGGCGAUGAAGGACGUGCUAAUCUGCGAAAAGCGUCGGUAAGGUGAUAUGAACCGUUAUAACCGGCGAUGUCCGAAUGGGGAAACCCAGUGUGAUUCGUCACACUAUCGUUAACUGAAUACAUAGGUUAACGAGGCGAACCGGGGGAACUGAAACAUCUAAGUACCCCGAGGAAAAGAAAUCAACCGAGAUUCCCCCAGUAGCGGCGAGCGAACGGGGAGCAGCCCAGAGUCUGAAUCAGCUUGUGUGUUAGUGGAACGGUCUGGAAAGUCCGACGGUACAGGGUGAUAGUCCCGUACACCAAAAUGCACAGGCUGUGAACUCGAAGAGUAGGGCGGGACACGUGGUAUCCUGUCUGAAUAUGGGGGGACCAUCCUCCAAGGCUAAAUACUCCUGACUGACCGAUAGUGAACCAGUACCGUGAGGGAAAGGCGAAAAGAACCCCGGCGAGGGGAGUGAAAAAGAACCUGAAACCGUGUACGUACAAGCAGUGGGAGCACCUUCGGGUGUGACUGCGUACCUUUUGUAUAAUGGGUCAGCGACUUAUAUUCUGUAGCAAGGUUAACCGUAUAGGGGAGCCGCAGGGAAACCGAGUCUUAACUGGGCGUUAAGUUGCAGGGUAUAGACCCGAAACCCGGUGAUCUAGCCAUGGGCAGGUUGAAGGUUGGGUAACACUAACUGGAGGACCGAACCGACUAAUGUUGAAAAAUUAGCGGAUGACUUGUGGCUGGGGGUGAAAGGCCAAUCAAACCGGGAGAUAGCUGGUUCUCCCCGAAAGCUAUUUAGGUAGCGCCUCGUGAAUUCAUCUUCGGGGGUAGAGCACUGUUUCGGCUAGGGGGUCAUCCCGACUUACCAACCCGAUGCAAACUACGAAUACCGAAGAAUGUUAUCACGGGAGACACACGGCGGGUGCUAACGUCCGUCGUGAAGAGGGAAACAACCCAGACCGCCAGCUAAGGUCCCAAAGUCAUGGUUAAGUGGGAAACGAUGUGGGAAGGCACAGACAGCCAGGAUGUUGGCUUAGAAGCAGCCAUCAUUUAAAGAAAGCGUAAUAGCUCACUGGUCGAGUCGGCCUGCGCGGAAGAUGUAACGGGGCUAAACCAUGCACCGAAGCUGCGGCAGCGACACUAUGUGUUGUUGGGUAGGGGAGCGUUCUGUAAGCCUGCGAAGGUGUGCUGUGAGGCAUGCUGGAGGUAUCAGAAGUGCGAAUGCUGACAUAAGUAACGAUAAAGCGGGUGAAAAGCCCGCUCGCCGGAAGACCAAGGGUUCCUGUCCAACGUUAAUCGGGGCAGGGUGAGUCGACCCCUAAGGCGAGGCCGAAAGGCGUAGUCGAUGGGAAACAGGUUAAUAUUCCUGUACUUGGUGUUACUGCGAAGGGGGGACGGAGAAGGCUAUGUUAGCCGGGCGACGGUUGUCCCGGUUUAAGCAUGUAGGCUGGUUGUCCAGGCAAAUCCGGAUAAUCAAGGCUGAGGUGUGAUGACGAGGCACUACGGUGCUGAAGUAACAAAUGCCCUGCUUCCAGGAAAAGCCUCUAAGCAUCAGGUAACAUCAAAUCGUACCCCAAACCGACACAGGUGGUCAGGUAGAGAAUACCAAGGCGCUUGAGAGAACUCGGGUGAAGGAACUAGGCAAAAUGGUGCCGUAACUUCGGGAGAAGGCACGCUGGUGUGUAGGUGAAGUCCCUGCGGAUGGAGCUGAGACCAGUCGAAGAUACCAGCUGGCUGCAACUGUUUAUUAAAAACACAGCACUGUGCAAACACGAAAGUGGACGUAUACGGUGUGACGCCUGCCCGGUGCCGGAAGGUUAAUUGAUGGGGUUAUCCGUAAGGAGAAGCUCUUGAUCGAAGCCCCGGUAAACGGCGGCCGUAACUAUAACGGUCCUAAGGUAGCGAAAUUCCUUGUCGGGUAAGUUCCGACCUGCACGAAUGGCGUAAUGAUGGCCAGGCUGUCUCCACCCGAGACUCAGUGAAAUUGAACUCGCUGUGAAGAUGCAGUGUACCCGCGGCAAGACGGAAAGACCCCGUGAACCUUUACUAUAGCUUGACACUGAACAUUGAGCCUUGAUGUGUAGGAUAGGUGGGAGGCUUUGAAGCGUGGACGCCAGUCUGCGUGGAGCCAACCUUGAAAUACCACCCUUUAAUGUUUGAUGUUCUAACGUUGGCCCCUUACCGGGGUUGCGGACAGUGUCUGGUGGGUAGUUUGACUGGGGCGGUCUCCUCCCAAAGCGUAACGGAGGAGCACGAAGGUUAGCUAAUCCUGGUCGGACAUCAGGAGGUUAGUGCAAUGGCAUAAGCUAGCUUGACUGCGAGCGUGACGGCGCGAGCAGGUGCGAAAGCAGGUCAUAGUGAUCCGGUGGUUCUGAAUGGAAGGGCCAUCGCUCAACGGAUAAAAGGUACUCCGGGGAUAACAGGCUGAUACCGCCCAAGAGUUCAUAUCGACGGCGGUGUUUGGCACCUCGAUGUCGGCUCAUCACAUCCUGGGGCUGAAGUAGGUCCCAAGGGUAUGGCUGUUCGCCAUUUAAAGUGGUACGCGAGCUGGGUUUAGAACGUCGUGAGACAGUUCGGUCCCUAUCUGCCGUGGGCGCUGGAGAAUUGAGGGGGGCUGCUCCUAGUACGAGAGGACCGGAGUGGACGCAUCACUGGUGUUCGGGUUGUCAUGCCAAUGGCACUGCCCGGUAGCUAAAUGCGGAAGAGAUAAGUGCUGAAAGCAUCUAAGCACGAAACUUGCCCCGAGAUGAGUUCUCCCUGAGACUUUAAGUCUCCUGAAGGAACGUU